UACGUAGGGGGCAAGCGUUGUCCGGAAUCAUUGGGCGUAAAGAGCGCGUAGGCGGCCCUGUAAGUCCGCUGUGAAAGUCAAGGGCUCAACCCUUGAAUGCCGGUGGAUACUGCAGGGCUAGAGUCCGGAAGAGGCGAGUGGAAUUCCUGGUGUAGCGGUGAAAUGCGCAGAUAUCAGGAAGAACACCCGUGGCGAAAGCGGCUCUCUGGAACGGUACUGACGCUGAGGAGCGAAAGCGUGGGGAGCGAACAGG
rnacentral:rRNA from 1 species